rnacentral:rRNA from 1 species
GAUGAACGCUGGCGGCGUGCCUAAUACAUGCAAGUCGAGCGAACGGACGAGAAGCUUGCUUCUCUGAUGUUAGCGGCGGACGGGUGAGUAACACGUGGAUAACCUACCUAUAAGACUGGGAUAACUUCGGGAAACCGGAGCUAAUACUGGAUAAUAUUUUGAACCGCAUGGUUCAAAAGUGAAAGACGGUCUUGCUGUCACUUAUAGAUGGAUCCGCGCUGCAUUAGCUAGUUGGUAAGGUAACGGCUUACCAAGGCAACGAUGCAUAGCCGACCUGAGAGGGUGAUCGGCCACACUGGAACUGAGACACGGUCCAGACGCCUACGGGAGGCAGCAGUAGGGAAUCUUCCGCAAUGGGUGAAAGCCUGACGAAGCAACGCCGCGUGAGUGAUGAAGGUCUUCGGAUCGUAAAACUCUGUUAUUAGGUAAGAACAUAUGUGGAAGUAACUGUGCACAGCGUGACGGUACCUAAUCAGAAAGCCACGGCUAACUACGUG